CCUACGGGAGGCAGCAGUGAGGAAUAUUGGUCAAUGGGCGGGAGCCUGAACCAGCCAAGCCGCGUGAGGGAAGAAGGUACAGCGUAUCGUAAACCUCUUUUGUCAGGGAACAAAGGCGGGGACUAGUCCCCGGAUGAGGGUACCUGAAGAAAAAGCAUCGGCUAACUCCGUGCCAGCAGCCGCGGUAAUACGGAGGAUGCGAGCGUUAUCCGGAUUUAUUGGGUUUAAAGGGUGCGCAGGCGGCCUGUUAAGUCAGCGGGAAAAGCACGGGGCUCAACCCCGGAGAGCCGUUGAAACUGGCGGGCUGGAGUUGGAGAGAAGUACGCGGAAUGCGUGGUGUAGCGGUGAAAUGCUUAGAUAUCGCGCAGAACCCCGAUUGCGAAGGCAGCGUACCGGCUCCACACUGACGCUGAGGCACGAAAGCGUGGGUAUCGAACAGGAUUAGAUACCCGAGUAGUC
rnacentral:rRNA from 1 species